rnacentral:pre_miRNA from 1 species
GGUGGAAGCAUCCAAAGGGAUCGCAUUGAUCCAUCAUUCCUUCCAUUCUUCCAUGGUGGCCGUCUUCUACAAGAAGCACGGUUGACGACGGAUCAUGCGAUCCUUUUGGAGGCUUCCUC